rnacentral:tRNA from 1 species
GCACCUCUAGCUCAAUUGGCAGAGCAACUGACUCUUAAUCAGUAGGUUCCGGGUUCAAGUCCCGGGGGGUGCACCA